CCAACAAAGAGAAGUAUCCUUGUGCCUCCUGAUUUUGAUCCAAUGGAAGACUCCCUUUAUCAAGAUGUUGAAGUGACUCUAGAUGUUCAGAGAAGUGAUACUAGUCCAUUUGAAUCUCAUAAGGCAAAAAAAGUGGCUGCAGUGACUCGAGAUGUUCAGAGAAGUCCAUUUGAAUCUCAAAAGGCAAAAAAAGUGGCUGAAGUGACUCGAGAUGUUUCAGAGAAGUGAAACUAGUAUUUUAUUUUCUUCUGUGUAAUAUCUUUUUGUUUUUAGUGGGCUUGAACUUUUUGUAUUGUUUGACUUAAAAUUUGCAGGUCCAUUUGAAUCUCAAAAGGCAAAAAAGCUGGCUGAAGUUACUCGAGAUGGUCCAUUUGAAUCUCAAAAGGCAAAAAAAGUUGCUGAAGUGGCUCAAGAUGCUCAGACUAGUGAAACUAGUCCAUGUGAAUCUGAAAAGACAAAUAAAGUGAGAGGAAUGAACAUUUGUAAGAAAGUUUUGCGACUGAAACCUGGAGAAAGGUUAAGAGUCACUUUCUACCAAAAUCGAGUUGUUGGGCCGAAUCACGCCUCAUUUUCUAGAUACUUGGGUUUGCUAGUUUGUGAUCGUAAUAUGUGCCCGCUGCGAGUACACUCAUGGUUGGACAUCGAAGAACAUAAGCUUGA